rnacentral:lncRNA from 1 species
AUCUCCAUUGUUCCUGCCAGCUCUGGACCCCAGGCUGCAUGAGACAGUUGGCCUGUUUCCUCUCAUCUCUGGCUCCAUGACUUCAAUCCUCCUGCAGCUUCCACUGCCCCUAUCUGGCUCAUGUCUUGCUGUCUGGUGUCAUGAACUGGGAGUGCAGUAAAGAGGAGUGACAAGCCUGAGGGGCCACGUUCAUACCUGCCACUGCCAACUGUCCUGAUGUAACUGCUUUGUCAUCUUGCCUGCCAGGAUUUGUGACAAGGUAAUAGCAGUCAGAUGCAGGAGUGGUCUAUAGCCCUGGAUUAUGUUCGAACUCCACUUUCCAUGAUUCUACUGCUGGGCUUGUGAAUUGCCACUCCCACCACCAGGCGGUCUUUACUGUCCUUUCCACCUUCUAAAUCAGCGCUGUGUUGGGCUGUACCCUUGCCUUUUCCCCUUCUAUUAUGUAACACAUGGACAAGACCAAUGACAAUUUUCUUGGUGAAUCAGAAGGAAAGAAAAGAAGAGAAGGAGAGAGUAUAGAUGGAAUGCCUUCUUAUGAAAAAAAGGAGAAAUACAAUUUGGGGAGAUUUGUUGAAUAAGUUGAAACCAAAGAGAUAUAGAAUGCUGAAAAGCCUUGAAGGAGAUUUAAUUUGAGCUAUAGGCCUUGUCAAGAUGGACAGAACUCUUUAAAGAAGAGAAUAUUUAUUAACAUUUAGUAGACACUUAGGAGAAAAAAUAUGUCUCCUUAUUAGAUGAAAAAGGAAUUCUGAUUAUGUGAAAUAUUUUUGGAGAGUUCCUAAGUUACGUGCCAUUUUGACACCAAUGCUGGGGUUUAUGGGUCAUGAACUAUGUAAAAUGAGCACACAUGACCUCUUGGAAUUAAACGGUUCCCGUGAGACUGUGCUUGCAGCCUGUAUCCCUGUACCAUGCAGUAAAAAAGAUGUGCUUGCCCAGAUGGGGGGAGCAGGAAGAACCUGAUGAAAGAGAGCACCACGUGUGACAAGUGAGAGGAGACCCUGCUGAGCUCAAACAUAUUUCAUGAGCCU